rnacentral:lncRNA from 1 species
GGGGGAGCAAGAGGUGCUCCUGGAGACCCACAGGCCCCGAGACCCGUCCUGCUGUCUGGGGCGAUCCCACAACCUGCGAGAACCUCUCGGGAGUACAAACACUGCCAGUUCUUUCUUUUCUUUCUUCCUUCCUUGUCAUUUUUUAUUUUUUGGCCACCCUGCAGCACAUGGAAGUUUCUGGGCCAGGAGUCAGAGCCAAACCCCGGGUGUGACCCACACGGAAGCUGCGGCAACGCUGGAUCCUUUAACCCGCUGUGCUGGGCCGGGGAUUGAGCCUGUGUCUUGGUGCUGCAGAGACACUCCCAAUCCUGCUGGGCCACAGUGGGAACUCCCUUCCUUUCUUUUAAGGAGAUGAUUUAUGGAGGUAAAAUUCAUAGAUCAUAAAAGUAACCUUUUUACAGCAAACAAUUCAACGGCAUUUAAUACAUGAAAAAUGUACAACCACGGAGUUCCCGUCAUGGCGCAGCAGAAACGAAUCCGACUAGUAUCCAUGAGGAUGCGGGUUCGGUCCCUGGCCUCACUCGGUGGGCUGGGGAUCCAGCGUUUUCGACUCUGCACCGCGGCCUCCAGCCCCUCCCUGCGGCCCCCUGCCCACAGCCGCCUGCUGUGCUAAGCGGUGCCCCCCUGUGGCACCGACGGGAGAGGCCAGAGCCCAGCGUCGGACAGCGUGUGCCCCGCGCACUGCACGGGGCUUGGGGACUUUGGAUGGGACAGAGUGGCCUUGGCANNNNNNNNNNNNNNNNNNNNNNNNNNNNNNNNNNNNNNNNNNNNNNNNUCCCCCCUCCCUCAGAAAGCAAGUGGGCACCACAGCUGCGUUUAGCGAAAGCUGGAUGACUUUCCGAAUCAUUUUUAUUGCAAAUCACUUAACAAAAAGAUGGGAAAAAUACAUCAUUUUCAUCCUCUAGUUUUGCACGUAGAUAACUUUUUUGAAAAGUUUCCUUUUUAUGUAAACUACACUAUAUUUUAUAAAACACAAGAAGAAGCACGAUCUUAAGACGUGUCUGUCAAUGCCCAACAGGGGGUCCCGCAUCGCCCUCCCCUCCCCCCAGGCGGCAGGGCUGCCCUGCGAGGGGCAAGGCCUUUCCUGGGUUUGCUCUGAGGAGCUACUGUUCCGGCUCUGGCGGCUGCAGGACGCGAGGCCUGGCUUCUAACGUCCCUUUAACAGCAGGAACCCUGACAGGUUGGUCCAAUCAGAUUUCUUAAACAAAAUCCCCUUGAAGACGUAUGUACAGACCUUUCCUCUGCCACAGGCGUAUACUGGGUGUUCUAAGACUCUGCUCCUCCCGGGCACGCCGCCCCCAACCCGGGAGGGGUGGCCGGCGAGCAGGCUCCAGGCGCCCCGCCCCGCCCACUGAGCCUGGCCGUGCCCUGGGACCAGGGUCUCUGCGCACUGAGGCUGGCUGGGCACGGCUGGCUUUUUCCUUGGAAAACCGGCCCAGGCAGUGUCCUUCCCCAGCAAGGGGGAAGCCUCCCCACGGGGGGUCCAGGGUGGGCACCACACCUCCGACUUCUCCCUCGACACGAUGCGUACGCGUCAGCGGUGCAGAGGAGCCUCCAGAAAGAGCAAGAACUCCCCAGACCAACGAACAGCGACGUAACACUGAACCCCAAACAAAGAUUCAUGAUUCGGUACCAUGACACGUACCCUUGGCCCGUGCUUAAGAAAAGUCACCGAAGAGCACACCAAAGCACAUGAGCCCCACGGUCUUGUAUUUUACGUUCCUGCCUCGGAUGCAGAUGCACCCACACGCCAAAGGAGUAAAGGGCUGGCUUCCCUGGCUCUAGAGGCAUCUUCCAACGUGCGGGCGGUGCUGGGAGCGGGGGUCCGGGUUUGGGGGAGGGGCGCCUCUGGGGACCUCGCCGCCGGGCCCGGACGCGCCGGGAGCUUUUGGAGCUACGUUGCUCCCUUCUCAGACAUCCUUUCUCUUGGGUGCAGCGAAAGGAAAUCAAUAAAUAAAUGGCAUUUUAAAAUCCUGAAUCUUUGUUUAUAUUGUACACACACCCAGGAGCCUUUAUCCGAAGUAGGAAAGUCGUGAUCGAGCAGUAGCUUUUUGUUUGUUUGUUUUUCCGAGUAGAUAAAAGUUUUUACCUGGUGCCAUAUAAAACAGUACAUAUAAAUAAAAAGGCAGUGUUUCUGUGUAAAAUAAAAGUACAUAAAUAAAUACUAAAAAAAAAA